ensembl:lncRNA
CAGGAAGUGAUGAUGAUGAUGAUAAGAGGUACAGGUCAACUUGUUUGAUAUCCUCCAGCUGUCUAGUUUAAUUAGAUUUGGUACUUAUUAGUGGACCUGCCUUUCAGGACUUCAUUGACUUUGAAAGUGUACCAAUUUAUAUUAUUUACAUGCUGUUAAUUGAAAACACUUAAUUUUGGCCCAUGUUUGAUAUCGAUGGUUAUAUCUAUCAUCCAACUAACAUUCCUCAGUUUAGGUUUGUCUACAGUUCAUUUUAUGGUAAAGGGGAUAUCAAGCAGGUUCCAUAAUCUCAAAAUAGGAUGGUUAAAGCUUUUAAAGUUGAGUUCUAUUGCCUUAUACUGUGUCCCAAACUGAGUGUGAAGAGCAGGGCAGCCAUCGUCAGCUAAUGUCCACUAACAUUUAAGGGCUGUUGGAGAAACGUCCACAAAAUUCCAGGAUGUUCCCUCCAAAAAGGCAAUUUAGAUUUCCCCAAUGUUUGCUAGUGUUAGAUUUAGUUUAUUUUCCAGUUCGUUAGAUUAGUUACCAUUCCUUUGUGACAUGUCUAUAGGGGGAUUUUCUGUAUGUAUAGUUGAUGAUAACAGCUUGUGGCUGCUACAAGCUGUGUUACCAGGAUCUUUGCUAAUGUGUCACCUCUUUGACCGUUUGUGCACCCCAGGGGACGCUGGGAAAUCUGGAGGAGGAAGAUCUGAAGACCACCUGUCGCUCCACCCUGAACCUGUCUCUGCGCUGCUUAAAACAAGAUCACAUUUUUAGCGCAGGACCAGACAUUCUUCAUUCAGUUUUCCGUUGUAUUUCUUUCCUUCAUCGUUUCUGAUAUAAAGGACCUUGUCUAGUAGCUGCUGAGGUAGAAUGGUACAUUAAGGCUUUUAUCUAUGUUCUGUUUCUCAUGCAGUUUUUAUGACAAAUAAAAACCGUGCUUGUUUUGGUUUGUAAUGUCAGGUUUCCACUCUUUCACGGUUUGACUUUUUUUGGGAAAUCAGUUUGGGAAGUGUUUGUACAAUGUUAGUCAGGAGCAUCUCUUUCUCUCCUCUCUCCUUCCCACCCACCAGAUCUCACACCCACUGACUGAUCUCUCUAGCCCCUUACUGUAAAAUAUAGUGAGAUUGAAUUGAUCUUUUUUUGUUCUGAUUUUUAAACCUGUUCAUCUUGAUCAAUAAAAAGAGAGCUUGAAUGAUG